GGAGAGGUGUCCGAGUGGUUUAAGGAACUAGUCUUGAAAACUAGCGAUUCCGAAAGGGACCGUGGGUUCGAAUCCCACCCUCUCCG
rnacentral:tRNA from 1 species